UGGGCCUUUAUACAUGCAAGUCGAGCGAAUAGGAUUAAGAGCUUGCUCUUAUGAAGUUAGCGGCGGACGUUGUGAGUAACACGUGGGUAACCUGCCCAUAAGACUGGGAUAACUCCGGGAAACCGGGGCUAAUACCGGAUAACAUUUUGAACCGCAUGGUUCGAAAUUGAAAGGCGGCUUCGGCUGUCACUUAUGGAUGGACCCGCGUCGCAUUAGCUAGUUGGUGAGGUAACGGCUCACCAAGGCAACGAUGCGUAGCCGACCUGAGAGGGUGAUCGGCCACACUGGGACUGAGACACGGCCCAGACUCCUACGGGAGGCAGCAGUAGGGAAUCUUCCGCAAUGGACGAAAGUCUGACGGAGCAACGCCGCGUGAGUGAUGAAGGCUUUCGGGUCGUAAAACUCUGUUGUUAGGGAAGAACAAGUGCUAGUUGAAUAAGCUGGCACCUUGACGGUACCUAACCAGAAAGCCACGGCUAACUACGUGCCAGCAGCCGCGGUAAUACGUAGGUGGCAAGCGUUAUCCGGAAUUAUUGGGCGUAAAGCGCGCGCAGGUGGUUUCUUAAGUCUGAUGUGAAAGCCCACGGCUCAACCGUGGAGGGUCAUUGGAAACUGGGAGACUUGAGUGCAGAAGAGGAAAGUGGAAUUCCAUGUGUAGCGGUGAAAUGCGUAGAGAUAUGGAGGAACACCAGUGGCGAAGGCGACUUUCUGGUCUGUAACUGACACUGAGGCGCGAAAGCGUGGGGGAGCAAACAGGAUUAGAUACCCUGGUAGUCCACGCCGUAAACGAUGAGUGCUAAGUGUUAGAGGGUUUCCGCCCUUUAGUGCUGGAAGUUAACGCAUUAAGCACUCCGCCUGGGGAGUACGGCCGCAAGGCUGAAACUCAAAGGAUUGACGGGGGCCUGCAUAAGCGGUGGAGCAUGGUGGUUUAUUCGAGCAAGCGAAGAACCUUACCAGGUCUUGACAUCUCUGAAAACCCUAGAGGAUAGGGCUUCUCCUUCGGGAGCAGAGUGACAGGGGGUGCAUGGGUGGUU
rnacentral:rRNA from 1 species